UACGUAGGGGGGCUAGCGUUGUCCGGAAUCAUUGGGCGUAAAGCGCGUGUAGGCGGUUCGGUAAGUCCGCUGUGAAAGUCGGGGGGCUCAACCCUCGGAUGCCGGUGGAUACUGUCGGGCUUGAGUACGGAAGAGGCGAGUGGAAUUCCUGGUGUAGCGGUGAAAUGCUUAGAUAUGACAUAGAACACCAAUUGCGAAGGCAGCUAACUACAGGGUUAUUGACACUGAGGCUCGAAAGCGUGGGGAGUCAAACGGAAUAGAA
rnacentral:rRNA from 1 species